rnacentral:misc_RNA from 1 species
CGGGGCCAACCUCCCACCCUUGUAUACUGUACCAAGUUGCUUCGGCGGGCCCGCCGUUCGCGCGGCCGCCGGGGGGGAACCCCUCCCCCCGGGCGAGCGCCCGCCGGAGACCCCAACGUGAACACUGUCUGAAGUUUUGUCGUCUGAGUUCGAUUGUAUCGCAAUCAGUUAAAACUUUCAACAAUGGAUCUCUUGGUUCCGGCAUCGAUGAAGAACGCAGCGAAAUGCGAUAAUUAAUGUGAAUUGCAGAAUUCAGUGAAUCAUCGAGUCUUUGAACGCACAUUGCACCCCCUGGUAUUCCGGGGGGUAUGCCUGUCCGAGCGUCAUUGCUGCCCUCAAGCCCGGCUUGUGUGUUGGGUCCUCGUCCCCCCCGGGGGACGGGCCCGAAAGGCAGCGGCGGCACCGCGUCCGGUCCUCGAGCGUAUGGGGCUUUGUCACACCGCUCUCGUAGGCCCGGCCGGCGCUGGCCGACGCUGAAAAGCAACCAUUAUUUCUCCAGGUUGACCUCGGAUCAGGUAGGGAUACCCGCUGAACUUAAGCAUAUCAAUAAGCCGGAGGAAA